GCCCGGAUGGCGGAAUUGGUAGACGCAACGGACUUAAAAUCCGUUGGCCGCAAGGCCGUGCCGGUUCGAUCCCGGCUCCGGGCACCA
rnacentral:tRNA from 1 species